UUUUCUCACCAUACCACGUUGGAAGCACCAGUUCCCGUCCGAUCACGACAGUUAAGCAACGCUUGGCCCGGUCAGUACUUGCAUAGGUAUAUUAUGUAGUAUAAC
rfam:Schistosoma rodhaini strain Burundi genome assembly, scaffold: SROB_scaffold0010056